rnacentral:rRNA from 1 species
GGGCCCGCACAAGCGGUGGAGCAUGUGGUUUAAUUCGAUGAUACGCGAGGAACCUUACCAGGGCUUAAAUGUAGUCUGACAGGGGUGGAAACACCCCCUCCUUCGGGCAGAUUACAAGGUGCUGCAUGGUUGUCGUCAGCUCGUGCCGUGAGGUGUCAGGUUAAGUCCUAUAACGAGCGCAACCCCUGCCGUUAGUUGCCAGCAUGUAAUGAUGGGAACUCUAACGGGACUGCCUGUGCAAACCGCGAGGAAGGUGGGGAUGACGUCAAAUCAUCACGGCCCUUACGUCCUGGGCUACACACGUGCUACAAUGGCCGGUACAGAGGGCAGCCACACCGCAAGGUGGAGCGAAUCCCAGAAAACGUCUCGUAGUCCGGAUUGGAGUCUGCAACUCGACUCCAUGAAGUCGGAAUC